GACGAACGCUGGCGGCGUGCCUAAUACAUGCAAGUCGAACGCUUCUUUCCUCCCGAGUGCUUGCACUCAAUUGGAAAGAGGAGUGGCGGACGGGUGAGUAACACGUGGGUAACCUACCCAUCAGAGGGGGAUAACACUUGGAAACAGGUGCUAAUACCGCAUAACAGUUUAUGCCGCAUGGCAUAAGAGUGAAAGGCGCUUUCGGGUGUCGCUGAUGGAUGGACCCGCGGUGCAUUAGCUAGUUGGUGAGGUAACGGCUCACCAAGGCCACGAUGCAUAGCCGACCUGAGAGGGUGAUCGGCCACGCUGGGACUGAGACACGGCCCAGACUCCUACGGGAGGCAGCAGUAGGGAAUCUUCGGCAAUGGACGAAAGUCUGACCGAGCAACGCCGCGUGAGUGAAGAAGGUUUUCGGAUCGUAAAACUCUGUUGUUAGAGAAGAACAAGGACGUUAGUAACUGAACGUCCCCUGACGGUAUCUAACCAGAAAGCCACGGCUAACUACGUG
rnacentral:rRNA from 1 species